UACGGAGGGUGCGAGCGUUGUCCGGAAUCACUGGGCGUAAAGGGCGCGUAGGCGGCGGGGUAAGCGUGCGGUGAAAGCUCGGGGCUCAACCCCGAGUCGGCCGUGCGAACUGCCCCUGCUUGAGCACUGUAGAGGCAGGUGGAAUUCCGGGUGUAGCGGUGGAAUGCGUAGAGAUCCGGAAGAACACCAGUGGCGAAGGCGGCCUGCUGGGCAGUGGCUGACGCUGAGGCGCGACAGCGUGGGGAGCAAACAGG
rnacentral:rRNA from 1 species